rnacentral:rRNA from 1 species
AUUGAACGCUGGCGGCAUGCUUUACACAUGCAAGUCGAACGGCAGCGCGGGCUUCGGCCUGGAGGCGAGUGGCGAACGGGUGAGUAAUACAUCGGAACGUGCCCAGUAGCGGGGGAUAGCCCGGCGAAAGCCGGAUUAAUACCGCAUACGACCUGAGGGUGAAAGCGGGGGAUCUUCGGACCUCGCGCUAUUGGAGCGGCCGAGGGCAGAUUUGCUAGUUGGUGGGGUAAAGGCCUAUCAAGGCGACGAUCUGUAGCUGGUCUGAGAGGACGACCAGCCACACUGGGACUGAGACACGGCCCAGACUCCGACGGGAGGCAGCAGUGGGGAAUUUUGGACAAUGGGCGAAAGCCUGAUCCAGCAAUGCCGCGUGUGUGAUGAAGGCCUUCGGGUUGUAAAGCACUUUUGGCGGGAACGAAAAGGACUGUGCCAAUACCACGGUUCGAUGACGGUACCCGCAGAAUAAGCACCGGCUAACUACGUG